rnacentral:rRNA from 1 species
GAUGAACGCUGGCGGCGUGCCUAAUACAUGCAAGUCGAGCGAACAGACGAGGAGCUUGCUCCUCUGACGUUAGCGGCGGACGGGUGAGUAACACGUGGAUAACCUACCUAUAAGACUGGGAUAACUUCGGGAAACCGGAGCUAAUACCGGAUAAUAUAUUGAACCGCAUGGUUCAAUAGUGAAAGACGGUUUUGCUGCCACUUAUAGAUGGAUCCGCGCCGCAUUAGCUAGUUGGUAAGGUAACGGCUUACCAAGGCGACGAUGCGUAGCCGACCUGAGAGGGUGAUCGGCCACACUGGAACUGAGACACGGUCCAGACUCCUACGGGAGGCAGCAGUAGGGAGUCUUCCGCAAUGGGCGAAAGCCUGACGGAGCAACGCCGCGUGAGUGAUGAAGGUCUUCGGAUCGUAAAACUCUGUUAUUAGGGAAGAACAAAUGUGUAAGUAACUAUGCACGUCUUGACGGUACCUAAUCAGAAAGCCACGGCUAACUACGUG